GGUAGCGUGGCCGAGCGGGCUAAGGCGCUGGUUUAAGUCUCCGGAGGCGUGGGUUCUGAAUCCCCACCGCCGCCA